rnacentral:misc_RNA from 1 species
GUUUUUCCAUUUUAUGCGCGAGUGAUUUCUGUUUGGUGAAGACAUUUCAGGGACCUUUUUCAAGAUUGAAAUGCCAAAUGAUAGAUGCUGAGAAAGGGUCCUUUUCUCUUACUUGAGAAUGCUCCUCACAGCACCAUGCUGUUUAUUGUCACCUCCAGAUAAAAUCAUUUCAUCAACAAGAUCUGACUAUUUCAGGAUCCAGUAUCAAUUUUUGGUGCCGAAGGCAUUAUACCAGAACUUACGAUGCUAAGAAAUGGCACCGAUGUAUCAUCC